GCUAUUUAAUUCCUUCAGUUUUAUUUUUCAGGUUAUGCACAUUUGUGCUAGUCAUAUGGUAUCACUAAUAAAUAUAAUCAUUUCAGGAAAUAUAUAAAAACGGAAAACAUUUAAACAUGCCUCCGUUUAUCACCUAUCAUUUUCUUUUUUUUUUUAUAGGGUGUGCUGUGUGCUCUAUCAGUUAAACUUCAGAAGAAAGUCUCUUUAGAAUGGAUGCCAGACUCCAAUGGUCGACAGCAACUUGAAAGGCACGUCCGUACUAUCUUAGAACACCCAUUUGUGAGAGUUGAACUGAUUCUAUCCGCCGGUUUUGGGUUUCAAACAGAACAAUAAUUCGACCUCCUAAGCGCCCUAGCAAUCCUAAGCCUCCAAAAUAGACAACCCCUAAUUCCUGUUUAACAAAUGGGGGCCUGGGAAAAGGGAGACCAGACUUGGAGAGGCAUUGAUCCCACUUGUCCUAACAUUACUUGUCUCCACUCCACAGCCCGUGACUCUAUGCAAAUGGUCCGUUUCUCCAGGAGCUAGUUUAUGUGUCUCUAAGUUGUUUCUUAAGCAUAUAUAUUACUUAUAAUCAACUCUAAUCAAAUUCUACUAAGAGUAAAGGUAAGAAAAGGCAGUAACAAUGAGCAAUUAACGCCUUAUGGU
rnacentral:lncRNA from 1 species